rnacentral:lncRNA from 1 species
GAGGAAGCUGAAACAGAGGAAGGUCGUGAGUUGGCGAUCCAAUUGAACUAAUGAGCUGGCGAUCCGUGACAACAGGAGCUGAUCCAUGAGCUGGCAAUCCGUGGCAACAGGAGCUGGUGAUCCAUGAGAGUAAAACCUAAAUCACAGAAGCAGGUCAAGCGAAUCAAAAAGAAGCUACACAGUCAGAAGAAAUACACGUGUAUUGCUUAUCUUCUGUUGUAACAAUUUGAUAACAGAAAACAGUUGAGCUAGUGAUUAAGUAUAAAAGGAAAAGAGAGAACGAGAGAGAGGUGUGGGAGUUUAUUGUUAGUUCUGAGUUGCUAAGCUCUUCCUGUUCUUCAUCAGAAGCUUUUUCUUCGUUCUCUGUAUCUGGAAUUGAUGAAAGAUAGUGUAAAGAAUGAACUCGAAGUUCUGGAGAAGAAAUAUAACAGAAGUCUGAGGUAUUUUCAUUGAUUGUUCGAAGAUCUUGUUCUGUAUUCGAUUUCUUCUCAGGGGAGCUGCUCGUCCGGACCAGCCAGCCGACCGGAAGCCGCCCCUUCGCCGCUCGACGCCGCCAGCUUUGUCGGAGAAGCUCGCCGUUGCUGUCGUCCAUGCGCGUCGCCUGCGCACCGCGGCUGCUCGUCGUCGCACCAUCUCCGCCGCCUCCAGCCUUCGUCCGCGCGGUCCCGAGCUCCUGCCCCUCCGUCAAGCCGCUGCUGCCGUUGCUAGGGUCGCCGAGAGUCUCGCCGGAGCCGCCGCUCGCCGUCCAAGCCUCGUGCGCAAGGCCGUCGCUGCUCGCUGCCGCUCCGCACGUCUCCGCCUCCCUCUCGCCUGCCCUUGCGCCGCAGCUGCUGCACCAGCCCGUGCCGGAGCCGUUCGGCCACCUCCGGCCACCGUUCGGGCCCCGCCUAGGUCCGGUUUGACCCCUCAACCUUCCCCGGUCCUUCUCCAUCUCAUCCAAGCACCGGAUCUACCCUUCCUCGACCUCAAUCCGCGAUGGACAGCAACUGGAAAAAAAUGGGUAUGGCAGCGGACGUUUGGCUCGUUUCGGUCGGCUUCCCGACCCCGGAUGCUUGGCCCGCUUUGGAGAAAGUCGAUCCCCUCGUCGUCCCCGUCGUUUUGGUCCGCUCGGCUCGCUAAUCUGGUGAAUUUAGCUCACUAAACCUUGAUUAGACGGUUAAUUAUGCCCUAAGUGUGCUUAGUCUAAGUUAAGCAAGUUUAGGUGGAUAUUUGAGUUUAUUUAAUUGUGAUUUGGGUUAAAAGGUUGGUUUAAUUUAAAGUGUGUUUAAUUAAAGGUUAAGAUAGUUUAUUUAAUAAUAAACCUUGAUGGGACAUAAUAGGAUUUUAAUUUUGAAUUAUUUAAUUGCUUCGAAAUUCUGGAAAUUUAUAAUAUUAUAUUAUAUUCCGAAAUUAUUAAAAUAUUAUUAUUAAAAAAAAACGGAAAAAUUAUUUUUGACCCCAGUUGCUCAAAAUUUCGUGCCGAUCGUUGCUGUGCAUUUAGAAUUUGAAUUUGAUGAUUGGUUGUGGCAAAUUGAGUGUGAUUGCGAUAAAUAGGGAUUUUUUUUUAUAAAAUCCUAAGUGUAGAAAUUGAUGGGCGAUUGGCCGUAAUAUGCCACCUGAUAAAGGUCGCGCCCAGUGGGAUCGUGAUAUGCCACCUAUUAGAGGUCGCACCCAAUGGGGCCGUGAUAUGCCACCUAUUAAAGGUCGCGCCCAGUGGAGCCGUGAUAUGCCACCUAUUAGAGGUCGCGUCCAAUGGGGCCGUGAUAUGCCACCUAUUAAAGGUCGCGCCCAGUGGGGCCGUGAUAUGCCACCUAUUAGAGGUCGCGCCCAGUGGGGCCAUGAUAUGCCACCUGAUAAAGGUCGCGCCCAGUGGGGCCGUGAUAUGCCACCUAUUAGAGGUCGCGCCCAACUGGGCCGUAAUCUACCACCUUUUUAAAGGUCGUGCCGAGUGGGGCCGUGAUGCCACUAAUUCUAAUUUUGCUGAGUGGGGCCGUGAUUGAGAGCAAUGAUAGAUUUGCUAGAAUGACAUGUAAUCGGCCGAGUCGAUUGAUCGCGGAGACGAUCCAAGUGGUUGAAUUGUUUUGAUAGUGUGAUUGUGCCAUGGUUGUUUGGUUAUCAUAAUUGUACGUGGUUGAAUUAUUUAAAUUGUGCUAACCUGCAGAUGAAGGCUGAGGCGAGGUAAGUCUUCUGUGUGAUGUGGCUAGACCACCCGGGGCGUAUUUUCUUUCUAAUAGAGGUUUAGGGGGUUGAAUUUGCUGAGACAUUGUCUCAUCCCGGUUGUGGGAUUAAAAUUUCAGGUCCCCGGUGGAUGAAGCGGCCAGAUAGCUUUGGUUGGCCUUGAGGAGUUGCAGAGGUGAAGUCAUAAGGAUUGGAGAGCGUGUCCGACUUGUAGGUCAUAGGACAGUUCAUUUUUAAGAGCCGGUCUUUUGUAGACUUUUGGCUGUAGGCCUUCGUCUGUAACUCCGUUGGUUUGUGUAAGUGAUUGGUUGUAAAAUUGUUUCCUGCUUUUAUAUCCCGUAUUUUGUUGUCAGGGGUUUUAUAAUACGUUCCGUUUGCGCAA